AUUGAACGCUGGCGGCAUGCCUUACACAUGCAAGUCGAACGGCAGCGGGGACUUAGGUCCGCCGGCGAGUGGCGAACGGGUGAGUAAUGCGUAGGAAUCUGCCUUAUAGUGGGGGAUAACCCGGGGAAACUCGGGCUAAUACCGCAUAAUCUCUACGGAGCAAAGGGGGGGACCUUCGGGCCCUACGCUAAAAGACGAGCCUAUGUUGGAUUAGCUAGUUGGUAGGGUAAAGGCCUACCAAGGCGACGAUCCAUAGCUGGUCUGAGAGGAUGAUCAGCCACACUGGGACUGAGACACGGCCCAGACUCCUACGGGAGGCAGCAGUGGGGAAUAUUGGACAAUGGGCGAAAGCCUGAUCCAGCAACGCCGUGUGUGUGAAGAAGGCCUUCGGGUUGUAAAGCACUUUUAGUGGGGAAGAAAAGCUCAUGGCUAAUAUCCAUGAGUGCUGACGUUACCCACAGAAAAAGCACUGGCUAACUCUGUGCCAGCCGCCGCGGUAAUAC
rnacentral:rRNA from 1 species